rnacentral:rRNA from 1 species
AUUGAACGCUGGCGGCAGGCCUAACACAUGCAAGUCGAGCGGAUGAGUGGAGCUUGCUCCAUGAUUCAGCGGCGGACGGGUGAGUAAUGCCUAGGAAUCUGCCUGGUAGUGGGGGACAACGUUUCGAAAGGAACGCUAAUACCGCAUACGGCCUACGGGAGAAAGUGGGGGAUCUUCGGACCUCACGCUAUCAGAUGAGCCUAGGUCGGAUUAGCUAGUUGGUGAGGUAAAGGCGCACCAAGGCGACGAUCCGUAACUGGUCUGAGAGGAUGAUCAGUCACACUGGAACUGAGACACGGUCCAGACUCCUACGGGAGGCAGCAGUGGGGAAUAUUGGACAAUGGGCGAAAGCCUGAUCCAGCCAUGCCGCGUGUGUGAAGAAGGUCUUCGGAUUGUAAAGCACUUUAAGUUGGGAGGAAGGGCAGUAAGUUAAUACCUUGCUGUUUUGACGUUACCAACAGAAUAAGCACCGGCUAACUUCGUGCCAGCAGCCGCCGCUGUAA